rnacentral:rRNA from 1 species
AAACGGGUGCGGAACACGUACGCAACCUUCCUUUAACUGGAGAAUAGCCCCUCGAAAGAGGGAUUAAUACUCCGUAACAUAUUGAUAAGGCAUCUUAUUAAUAUUAUAGCUCCGGCGGUUAAAGAUGGGCGUGCGGCUGAUUAGAUAGUUGGCGGGUAACGGCCCACCAAGUCUGCGAUCAGUAACUGGUGUGAGAGCACGACCAGUCACACGGGCACUGAGACACGGGCCCG